UACAGAGGUCCCAAGCGUUGUUCGGAUUCACUGGGCGUAAAGGGUGCGUAGGUGGCGUGGUAAGUUUGAUGUGAAAGCUCAGGGCUUAACCCUGAAAUGGCAUUGAAUACUACUGUGCUGGAGGUUUGGAGGGGGACUGGAAUUCUUGGUGUAGCAGUGAAAUGCGUAGAUAUCAAGAGGAACACCAGGUGGCGAAGGCGGAGUCCUGGCAACACUCGAGCAC
rnacentral:rRNA from 1 species